CUGGGAUUGUGGCUCAGUAGUAGAGCACUUGUCUAGCACAUGUGAGGUGCUGGGUUUGAUCCUCAGUACCACAUAAAAAUAAAUAAAUAAAAUAAAGGUAUUGUGUCCAUCUACAACUAAAAAAAAAAAUCAGAGGCCAAGGAUUUUUUUUGCUUUGUCAAUCUAUGAGAACAAGUCUCUGAGAGAGACAAAUAUCAGCGUACACAAACCACGCAGAUGCUUCUCUGUAAAAUGAGGUUCCUCGUGGUAGAGUUAGUUACAAGAAGGAGCAAAUAAUGAGAGGGUUGGGAUUUUUUCAGCCCCACCUACCAACAUCCAGGAAAGGGCAAUGGGGUAAGCAGUGCUGGAGAGUAAACUCUGUAGAAACUGUUGAGUCACAAGGUUUGAUGAGCUUUCAGAUUGCUGUACACAAUGAACUGCUGGAAGGGCAUUGUACCUAGAGGGAGUGUGCCAUCUCUGUGCCCUCCUUCAUCCCUUACCCUAUGUAUCUCUUUGUCUGCUCAUCUCUGUUCUUUAUAAACUGGUGAACAUUGUUUCUCUGAGUUCUAGGACCAUUCUAUCAAAAUAUAGAGGAGGAGGAGGUCAUGGGAACUCCUAGUUUAUACCAAGUUAGUCGGAAGCAUGUGAAGCUCAGAUUUAUGAUUGGUACCUGAAAUGGGGGCAGCCUUGUGGGAUCUGAUGCUGUCUCUAGGUGGAGUGUCAGAAUUGAGUUGAAUUAUAGAAUAUCCAGCUGGUGUCCAGGGAGUUGGAGAAUUGCUUGCUAUGGAGUGGGGGAAACAGAAC
rnacentral:lncRNA from 1 species